AAGAGACAGCAGUCGCCGCGGUAAAACGGAGGGAGCUAGCGUUAUUCGGAAUUACUGGGCGUAAAGCGCACGUAGGCGGCUUUGUAAGUUAGAGGUGAAAGCCUGGAGCUCAACUCCAGAAUUGCCUUUAAGACUGCAUCGCUUGAAUCCAGGAGAGGUGAGUGGAAUUCCGAGUGUAGAGGUGAAAUUCGUAGAUAUUCGGAAGAACACCAGUGGCGAAGGCGGCUCACUGGACUGGUAUUGACGCUGAGGUGCGAAAGCGUGGGGAGCAAACAGGAUUAGAGACCCGAGUAGUCCCUGUCUCUUAUAC
rnacentral:rRNA from 1 species